UACGUAGGGUGCAAGCGUUUGUCCGGAAUUAUUGGGCGUAAAGAGCUCGUAGGCGGUCUGUCGCGUCGGCUGUGAAAACCCGGAGCUCAACUCCGGGCCUGCAGUCGAUACGGGCAAACUGGAGUACUGCAGGGGAGACUGGAAUUCCUGGUGUAGCGGUGAAAUGCGCAGAUAUCAGGAGGAACACCGGUGGCGAAGGCGGGUCUCUGGGCAGUAACUGACGCUGAGGAGCGAAAGCGUGGGGAGCGAACAGG
rnacentral:rRNA from 1 species